ACUCAGUCUGGUGUUCCGCUGCAUGUGCAGAAACAAAGAAAAAGUUCAUCAGCCCCGACCUUGCCCUGUUGCCGACUUCUCGGUUUGAGUAUUAGGUGACCUGAACUGAGCUGUGUUGAAUUGCCUGCUUUACAGGAAACCACCAUCCUAACUGCUCCUCUCUCUUCAACCAACACCCAAAGCCACUGCCAAUGUCUAGGGGAUGAGACUUCACAAGGGAGUGCCAGCAUACACAACAAAGGAAGAUUUGAAGACACACAGUUCCUGUCCUUACAUUUAUGGCAACAUUGAUUAAAAUUAUCAUUGUAAUUCCAAUGCCUAAAUGUUUAUUUAAUAAAGAAUUUGGUUUUCCAAGGUC